AAAGCAGAAGUGUGCUGACAGAGGAAGGCAGCGGCGGGCGGAUGGGGUCUGACUCUGAGAUGACUGACAUAUAUCAGUAGGCUGCUGUCGCAUACAGGUUUCCGGAGCUGUUCCUCAACGGUCUGUCAUUCCGUCUCGCGAUGAAGGAUCAAAACUACUCCGAAGAAGUUACAAAAAUACUGGAGGAGGCCCCCUCCGCUCGCAAAGCACUUUUAGACAACUAUAACAAUUUAUACAAAGUAGCGGAGUACUGCGAGAGCAACUACCUGCAGGCUGGAAAUGACACCACCAAAGCCCUUGAGGAGACCAAGGCCUUCACCACCCAGUCCUUGGCUAGUGUGGCCUAUCAGAUCAGCUCUAUGGCCACCAAUGUGCUCAAGCUUCUGGAUGCACAGACCCUGCAGCUCCGCAAGAUUGAGUCCUCCAUCAACCAGAUCGGACAGACCGUGGACAUGCACAGGGAGAAGGUGGCCCGCAGAGAGAUCGGCGCUUUCACUGUUGCCAAGAGGGUCCCACGCAGUCAUAAGGUUGUCCCCCCAGCAAAAAAUAAAGAAGCCAAGAUCAAGUACUCCCGCACACCCAUCUCUUUCUCUAGCCUGGACUCAGUCGGACAUGGCGUGAAGGAUUCUGGCCAGCCGCAGGUAAAAACAGCUACCAUGACACGGAGCAGCAGCACACUGAGUCGAAGCAGCCGUCCACCUGAGCCUGUCCAGUGUCCCGUGGCACCCACUCUCUCUCAUGGAGCGUCCCUCACCUCGCUCAAUGACAAGUCUAUUGCUUCAAGUUUUGGUAAAGCCGUGCCGCCUCCUGUGGUGCCCAGCUGGCCCACCAGUCCUGAGGUUGACAUCAUUGACACGCUACUGGGUGAAGGGCCUCCUCCACCACCCCCACCGAUGGAGGCAGAGGGUGAACAGGAUCAUGGGCUGGAGACCGGUCCACCCCCACCUCCACCACCUCCUCCCCUCGACUGCACCAACAUCCCCCCGCCCCCUCCUAUGGCCACCUCAGUGAACGCACCUGAUCCCAGCAGCCUCAUGGCCAUACCACCUCCUCCACCUCCUCCACCAGCUCCACCUCUUGAAACAGUGGCUGAGGAGAAUGGAUUUCCUCUACCAGAAGCUCCCAUUGACAUGCCUCCUCCACCAGCCCCUGAUGGCCUCGAUCUUCCAGCCCCACUGCCUCCGCCGUGUGACCACAACUUUGAAGACCUUGAGAUUCCAGCACCGCCACCACUAGACAGUUAUGACAACUUUGAAGAGAUGCCCCCUCUACCCCCUCCCAUUGAUUAUGACAUAACUGCACCAGCCGACUAUUUGGAUAAAGUGGUGGCACUGUAUAACUACGACACAGGCAAGCCGGGCGACCUGGUGUUUCAGGAGGGCGAUAUCAUCUACCUCACCAGCAGGAAUGAGGAUGGCUGGUGUGAGGGCUUUCUCAAUGGAGUUAAAGGGUUUUUUCCUGGCAACUAUGUGGAGUCCACCGCUUAACAGAACGCAAGUGAAUGAAGUAUAGAGAUGGAAGGAACCUUUCAUUACUAUUUCUAUAGUAAAACGGUGAAGUCCGCUGUAUAAAUGAAACUGCAGAAAUGUUUUUAUACUAUGUUGACCUUUUAAAACGUUUGAAAUGGAAUUAACAUGCUGGCUUAAACCAGCAGAGAUGAGUUUGUGUUUUUAAGUUGACUUUAGUCUUCAAUGAUGAUGAUGAUGAUGAUGAUCAUAAUUGAUCUCUCAGGACUUUUAAGUUACAUUUCAUAAUGUAAAACAUAUUAAGUAACAUUUUUGUACAUUUAGUUGUAUAUGAUAUGUUAAGCUCACAAAGUCGUGUUAAAUAGUGGAUGUUUAGUGGUUAAUUCUCUUAGCAUAUUUUCAUGGUUUGUUUGAAUAGGCAAUUGUGCAAAGUGAACAUUGAAGUAAUAUAUAAUAAUAGAUAUGUGUAAUAUAUUAUAAUGCAGUUUCCUAAUUAAAAGCCUUUAUUACUUAUGAUAAAUUACAUUUAUUUGAUAAAAUUUUCCUAAAUCCCUUGCAAUUAGAGUAUUUUCCAGAACAUUUUAUGCUCCGUUUAAUGAAUUAAAUGUUAUGCACGCCACAUUGGCCCAAUUCAGUCACAAUUUCAAUAUUUUAUGAUACCAAGUUAGCAUUUACAGUCCACAGAAUCAAUAAACUGUUGAUGGUAAUGUCUGGGAAUGAAGUUGCAUUUGUUUUAUGUCAUUUCUAACCAUCCACUUUCUUUUCACUUUGUUUAUAAGAUCAUUUGACCUGUUCAUUUUAGUUAUGCAAUUAGCAAACACUUUUAUUCAAAGUGAUUUACAAAAGAUAAAACUAAAUAAAUUCAUAAUAUACAAUGGUAGGUUUAUUUGACAACUAGAUGAAAAGUUCAUUCAUGGGGAACUGGCUCAUCAGCACCAUUCGCAAACUUAAAUGUGUUUCUCUUUAUUUGACAUAAAUGAAAGGGAAACUUCUGGCCAGAUAUAAUGUGUAUUUGGACACUGAGGUACGGCAUCUUUAAUAGAUUAAAUAGCAAGACUUUCUUGAUCACCUGUCUUUGCCAGAAAGAUCAUAUUGAUUCACCAGCUGUACCAGAACCAGGACAACACAAACCAGCCUGGAUUUCUUUUUUAUUUUCAUCAGAGAGAAGCAGUAUAAUGAUACAGACAAUAUAACGCCUGCUAUUUCAUGGCAAGGUUACUUAGGUAAAUAAAAGAUAAAUAAUGAAGCACACUGUGGAUGGUGCACUCUUUUAGAAAAGAAAAGGAAAAAGAAAUAAAAACCAAAACGGUCACUGGGAUGGUACCCUUUUACACAUAACUAAAUUUCCCCCUAAGUGCUGCGAGAAUAAAAUGUCCACCUGGUAUAUACAUACUGUGUGUUUAAACACCAGACAGUCACCAUAAAAGUGUUCAAACUUCACUAUCUGCACUUCAAACCCUCCCUCAGAUAAGACUCAGUCUCAAAUCAGAGCGCUGCAUUCAACAUCUACUUUACUGCCGGGAUCACCUGUGUUCUUUGAGAGUUGCUUCUGAAUUGUGAAGUGAAUUUCUUCAUUGCCAUGGGGUCUGAUCCAUAUUUAGUAUUUAAGAUCAUCGCACCUAUUGUUACCGUUUUUGUGUUUACGAUCUUCUGUGUUGGCUGCUGUAAAAUAUUCCAGCGGGUCUGUAAGGAGCAAGAUGAGCAUGUGCAGACUCAAGCUCGAGCCGUGGAUCCGCCCUCUGUUUACGUCAUUCCGAUCUCUCUGUCUGAAGAUGAUCUGCACAGACCACCGCGCUACAGCACAGUACAGUUCUACGAGUCGCCUCCUGCUUAUCACGAGUUGAAUCUGAAGCCCGAGGCCUGUCCUGUGGAAGCCCCUCCAGCAUAUUCUGAAUCCAUCUCUCCUUCACCCUCACAUUCAUGAUUAUGAGCGCAUCUCAAACACUUGGACUGGCUAAAGGAAAAAUAAGAAUCAUAUUCUCAUGACUUUUCCAAGGACUACUAUACUACUCAUGCUAUCUAUGCAAAGGUUUAAAUGGUGAGAAAGAAAAGUCACAAAG